rnacentral:rRNA from 1 species
GCAGUCGUGCGGAACGAUGGUUCCUUGCUCCCAGGCGUCCAGCGGCGGAAGGGUGAGUAGCACGUGGGAAUCUGCCCGUUAGUGGGGGAUAACUCGGGGAAACUCAAGCUAAUAACGCACAAUCCCUACGGGGGAAAGCACGGGAUCUUCGGACCUUGCUCUAAUGGAUGAUCCCGCAUCUGAUUACCUUGUUGGUGGGGUAAUGGCCCACCAAUGCAACGAUCCGUAACUGGUCUGAGAGGAUGGACAGUCACACCGGGACUGAGACACGGCCCGGACUCCUACGGGAGGCAUGGUGGGGAAUCUUGGACAAUGGGCGCAAGCCUGAUCCACCAUGCCGCGUGUGUGAACAAGGCCUUCGGGUUGUAAGCACUUUCAGUAGGGAGGAAGGCUUUGGGCUAAUACCCUGGAGUACUUGACGUUACCUACAGAGGAAGCACCGGCUAAUUUCUUGCCGCAGCCGCGGUAAUACGAAAGGUGCUUGCGUUAAUCGGAAUUACUGGGCGUAAAGCGCGCGUAAGCGGUGUGUUAACUCCGAUGUGAAAGCCCAGGGCUCAACCUUGGAAUUGCAUCCGAUACUGGCACGCUCGAGUGUAGUAGAGGGAGGUCGAAUUUCCAGUGUAGCGGUGAAAUGUAUAUAUAUCGCAAGGAUGCCAGUGGCGAAGGCGGCCUCCUGUACUGACACUGACUCUUACGUGCGAAAGCGUGUGGAGCAUACAGGAUUAGAUACCCUGUUAGUCGACGCCGUAAACGAUGUCUACUAUCCGUUGGGGUCCUAAGUGACUCUGAUGGCGCAUCUAACGCAUUAACUAGACCGCCGG